rnacentral:rRNA from 1 species
AUUGAACGCUGGCGGCAGGCCUAACACAUGCAAGUCGAACGAGUGGCGGACGGGUGAGUAAUGUCUGGGAAACUGCCUGAUGGAGGGGGAUAACUACUGGAAACGGUAGCUAAUACCGCAUACCAUCAGAUGUGUCUCGUUGGGAUUUGCUAGUUGGUGGGGUCACGGCUCACCAAGGCGACGAUACCUCGCUGGUCUGAGAGGAUGACCAGGCACACUGGAACUGUGGCACGGUCCAGACGGCUACGGGAGGCGUCGGUGGGGAAUAUGGCACAAGGGGGUCAAGCCUGAUGAAGCCAGGCCGCAUGUAUGAAUAAGGCCUUCGGGUUGAAAAGUACUUUCAGUGGGGAGGCGUUACCCGCAGAAGAAGCACCGGCUAACUCCGUGCCAGCAGCCGCGGUAAUUC